UGGGGAAUUUUGGACAAUGGGCGAAAGCCUGAUCCAGCAAUGCCGCGUGUGUGAAGAAGGCCUUCGGGUUGUAAAGCACUUUUGUCCGGAAAGAAAUCCUUGGCUCUAAUACAGUCGGGGGAUGACGGUACCGGAAGAAUAAGCACCGGCUAACUACGUGCCAGCAGCCGCGGUAAUACGUAGGGUGCAAGCGUUAAUCGGAAUUACUGGGCGUAAAGCGUGCGCAGGCGGUUUGCUAAGACCGAUGUGAAAUCCCCGGGCUCAACCUGGGAACUGCAUUGGUGACUGGCAGGCUAGAGUAUGGCAGAGGGGGGUAAAUUCCACGUGUAGCAGUGAAAUGCGUAGAGAUGUGGAGGAAUACCGAUGGCGAAGGCAGCCCCCUGGGCCAAUACUGACGCUCAUGCACGAAAGCGUGGGGAGCAAACAGGAUUAGAUACCCUGGUAGUCCACGCCCUAAACGAUGUCAACUAGUUGUUGGGGAUUCAUUUCCUUAGUAACGUAGCUAACGCGUGAAGUUGACCGCCUGGGGAGUACGGUCGCAAGAUUAAAACUCAAAUGAAUUGACGGGGUCAUAGCUGUUUCCU
rnacentral:rRNA from 1 species